CGCCAGCAAAGAAUUAUCCAAUCCAAAAUGUCAAGAGUGCUGAGGUUGAGAAACCCUGAACAAGAAAAAGUCCUUGGAAGGUGCCUUCAGCCACAGCCCAACCUCCGGUCCCUCAGUUGAAGAGGAAAGUAGCUGCUUGGUAAGCUUUUGCUGACUGAACGCACGUCCUGUUCUUGGUACCAGGCCGCUCCGGAGACCUGAAGGCUAUUCCUGGGCAGCUUCAACACGCUCUUCUCUGGAAGGAGCCAGGCCAGCCCUGCCUCCCCCGUCCCCUCCCUCUCUGGCCUCCAGGGACUCACCCACGGGGUCCACGAGGUCGAUGUGGUCCACAAAGUCCCGCUUUCCCAGAUAGACGAUGAGGACACUGAGGCCUGCAGGGAUCUUCAUGCCAAGCACCACUGAGGGUGGAGUGGCAGCAGGAAAGGAGUCUGAGAGGGGGUGCUGGGUGCAUCUCUGCAAGUAUGGGGGGACCCAGAGCAGGGCCAGCAGCGCCGAGAGGGUGCUCUGAACACUGAGCUCUGUGCCCCUCACUGCUCCCGGCCUCUGUGCAGCCUGCAGAGAUCCACUCGAAGGAGGACUUGUUUUCC